UAUGUGACGCCCCGACUUCCCAGGGGGUCACCCAUCCUAGGACUACUCCCGUCCUAGCACGCUUAACUCUCUUAACCUCUUGGGUCUAGCCACCACCCAAAAUGCUUAAGCCGGGUUAAGAGUUUAGCUAUAUUAUAUCUCAUAUAUAUGACUAUAUGGGGUCUCACAAUCUCCCCUCCUUUAAGCCCUGACGUCCUCGUUAGGCUCAGACUCACAAGUACCAGGCGAUGUGAGACUCGUCUCGCUAGCCCGUCAUCCAGACCCUGGCUCAGCCGAGACUCAUCUCACACUUCCGGCUGGUAAUUGGCUCUGAUACCAACUGUGACGCCCCGACUUCCCAGGGGGUCACCCAUCCUAGGACUACUCCCGUCCUAGCACGCUUAACUCUCUUAACCUCUUGGAUCUAGCCACCACCCAAAAUGCUUAAGCCGGGUUAAGAGUUUAGCUAUAUUAUAUCUCAUAUAUAUGACUAUAUGGGGUCUCACAGUUUAAUAUUGCGAAAAUGUUAGAGUAUAGUUCAUGUACAAAGGGGCCUAAUAUGGCACUAUUUUGAUUAUAGGGCGCGGAAUCGGCUAUCGUAAAGUGCGGGAGCCUUCAUAUUCUACACCCACACGACCAAUGGAGGUGGGGGGUGCACGCCGGAAUCGUUGGAUUCCCUUCUAUGUCUGUUUCUCUAUUUCUUGAACAUAUGGUUGUAUAGUCACUCAUGCAUAUUAGGGUUAAUUUACAUGUGGACUAUUGGUUGUUUCAUUAUGUCUUCUCUAAUGUUUUUGGAAAGUAGAAAGAUAUGGAACCAUGAAGGACAUGUAUUGUUGGACCCUAGAGAUUGCAUGAUUGAGAGGCUUGGACUUGGCAAUGGUAAAUAGCUAUGACACUGACAAUAGAGAGAUGGAUUGGCAUCGACAAGUAAGUGUUAAGCGUAAGUUUAACCAAAGUUACAUUGG
rnacentral:lncRNA from 1 species